GGAGGUAGAUGGGUAGCUGGUGUGCCCCACGGUCUUCAAAACCGAUGUGGGCGGUUAGUAGCCGCCUCGGUGGGUUCGAUUCCCACAUGCCUCC
rnacentral:tRNA from 1 species